rnacentral:rRNA from 1 species
AGCUCCAAUAGCGUAUAUUAAAGUUGUUGCAGUUAAAAAGCUCGUAGUUGGAUUUGUGGUGUAUGCAGGCGGCCCGUCACUUAGUGGCGGAGCUUGCUUGCGUCGCCAUCCUUGGGUGGAUCCUGUGUGGCAUUAAGUUGUCGUGCAGGGGAUGCCCAUCGUUUACUGUGAAAAAAUUAGAGUGUUCAAAGCAGGCUUAUGCCGUUGAAUAUAUUAGCAUGGAAUAAUAAGAUAGGACCUUGGUACUAUUUUGUUGGUUUGCGCACCAAGGUAAUGAUUAAUAGGGACAGUUGGGGGUAUUCGUAUUCCAUUGUCAGAGGUGAAAUUCUUGGAUUUUUGGAAGACGAACUACUGCGAAAGCAUUUACCAAGGAUGUUUUCAUUA